GUAGACAGUAGGAUAUCUGGGGUUCUACUUUUUUGAUGUAAAUUGCUUGUCAGGGGUAUUCUAGAGUUCUCUGUGGUCUGUCUGCCCACAGUAGUUCGAGUUUGUGAGCUCCCUUUUUUGCCUUAUCACAUGUGGGUGAGAAUCAAGAUAACUUAAACCUCUACAAAAUUCUAAUGCAAAAUGGCAACAUAAGGAGACACUAGAGAAACGUUUAGUGAUGGUGCAAUGGGCACUUAAUCAUCAAGCAAGAAAUCUGUUACAACUGAAUUUAACUGAAUUCCACUGGAUAACAGACAUGCAAAGGCAGGAGUGGGAUAAAAGGAGCAGGGCUUCCUCCACAAUGCAGUCAACUUCACAAUCUAAUGCUUGGAUCCCAGAGGUACAGAGGCUGCUUUAAAAACAGAGAAAAGCAAAGCUAUUCUUUUCAAAGGGAGCAAGAAGCAAAAAGCAGAGUCAGUUAUGGAAGAUUCUCUUCUAGUUUCUUCUUCUCCACAGCAUCUUGUCAUGAUAAAUACAACAGCCCCACUGGGCUUCCUGCCACCAAGUGCUUAGUGAUGACCCAGACUGCACAGACAACAGACCCUCUGGUCCUGCAUCCCCACCUCAACCCUUCAAUGUCCUGCAGAGAUAUUACCGGGACAGCUGAGACCAGAUAACAACAACAAAAAAAAACCACACAACAUGAAUUCUGAAGAAAAUUAAACUGUUGCUUUAUUCAGUUCAUUGCUUAAAUCUGCCUGAAAUGCUACCAUGCCAGAAGAAUGGAAGGUGGAAAAUACAACUAUUGAAAAGACUUGUGAGCUCACCAAAAUCAGUGUUUGAUGUUUCUGCCAAGUAACUUGCUGGAAAACAUAAUAAAGAAUAGAACUGGUGAACUGAA